UCGCAGAUAUUACCCGUCAUGAAAUAAUUUCAAAGUAUAUUUCAAAUAAUAGUUAUUUGAAAAUGAAUAUCUAAAUUUGAUACUACUUCAAAAUAUAUGCUGUAUUCAAAGCAAUGUUGUGUUUUCUUUAAACAAAUGUUUUCUUUAAACAUGUGUUUUCUUACAAACAAAUUAGGAUAAGUACGAAAUAAGUAUAAUUAAAUAUUCAAAGUAUUUAUACAAAAUAUUCUUUCUUAUCUCUAAAAUAUAACUCAUUCUUGAGACGUUUUUUUUUUGUAAGAAAAAUAUCAAAUGUCAAAAGAUCUUGUUGUAGGAAUUAAUGGAUUUGGAAGAAUAGGGAGAAUGUGUUUACGUGCCUGUAUCGAAAAGGAUAUUACGGUCAAGUUGGUCAAUGAUCCAUAUAUCUCGACCGACUAUAUGAUAUAUCUGUUCAAAUUUGACUCGACUCAUGGAGCGUAUCCUUUGAAAUUAGAAUGUGAGAAUGGGCAUAUUAUUAUCGGAGAGAACAAAAUAGCCACAUCCCAGGAAAAGAAUCCAUGUAAAAUAAAUUGGAGAGGCGCGGGUGUGACAUACGUAAUCGAAUCCACUGGACUUUUUACUACGUUAGAAAAAGCAAGCUUACAUAUGGAUGGUGGUGGGAAGAGAGUGAUUAUUACCGCGCCUUCUAUAGACGCGCCGAUGAUAGUUUAUGGGGUGAAUCAUACUUGUUACGAUCCGAAAAGGGGUAAAAUAGUAUCGGCUGCAUCUUGCACGACAAAUUGUGCAGCGCCGAUCAUUCGAUUAAUGCACGAUAAAUUCGAUGUUAUUGAAGUAAUGAUUAGUAGUGUGCACGCUUUAACGUCGAUGCAACGAACAUUAGACGGACCUUUAGAGAGAGGGAAAUUGUGGAGAGAUGGUAGAGGCGCUCUUCAAAACAUCAUACCAACAUCUUCAGGAGCUGCUAAAUCAUUGGAUAAAAUUAUCCCUGAACUUAAAGGGAAAAUAUCUGCAAUAGCUUUUAGAGUACCAAUCCCAAAUGUUUCCUUAUGCGAUAUGACUUUUAGGGUUAAUAAACCGACAACUUAUGAGGAAAUAAAAGAAGCAAUGAAAACAGCAUCAGAAAACGAUUUGAAAGGUAUAUUGGGUUAUACAGAUGAUGAUUGUGUAUCAUCCGAUUUCAAUAGGACAACUUAUUCGUGUAUCUUCGAUGCUAAAGCUGGCAUUCCUCAGACAAGUACAUUUAUCAAAGUUAUUGCGUGGUAUGAUAAUGAAUAUGGUUAUGCGCAUCGUGUAAUGGAUUUAAUAUUAUACAUGUACCAAGUUGAUUCUGGUAAUAUACCAGUACCUCCACAAGAGAUAGAAGAAAGUGAAGAUUAAUUAUUUUGUUCAGUACUAAGGAUAUAUUAUAAAACUACAUUUUAUGUAAACGCAUACGCCUAAAAUUGCUGUCGGUUAUAUUACCGCUUUCUGCCCUUCAAAUGACACACUGCUUCUGCACAGACCCGAGUGAAUAGACGUAAGUCAUGUUUUUUUUUAUCUUAAUUUUAAUUCAUCAUUCUAUUAAUUAAUUCUUUUCAUUAUUUCAUAAUAUUAUUUUAUGAUAUAUGGUAUGUAAUAAAUGAUAAUCGUCCAUUUGAUAUUUAAUAUCCAGUAUAAAAUAAUUCAAAAUUAGGCUUCUAUUUCGAAUUACGUAGCAUGUAUUAUAUACAUUUUUCACCGGUUGAUAUGACGUCAUUCAAUAUAAAUCCUGCAAUAAUUUUUUUAUUUAAGAAUCAUCAUUUUGAAUAUAUCUGAAUUUAUGUUUAAAAAAAAAUCAUAAUUUCAAUUGUUAUUUGUUUUACCUUUAAGUUAAUUUUUUUAAUUACUAUGAAUUAAUCAAAUAAUAAUAAUAAUAAUUAUACAAUAUUGAUUAUUUAGAAACAAAAGUAAUCAAUUUUAGUAUUUCAAUUUAUGAUUUUAUUAAAUAUGAAAUAAUUUCUAGGAAAAUUUGACUUUUACAAGUACUUUACAAGAUACUUUUACAAGUAUCAUUGAGUCAUUGUAAUUAAUUUUUCUCAAUAAUCGAUUUUAAAAAUAAAUUAUAAUUUUUUUAUUUUCCAAAAUAAAAGUAUAUUUUCAAAAAUAUAAAUAUUUUAAUAUUUUUAUCCAUUAAAUAUGUUUUAUAAAUUGUAGAAUAAUUUAUUAAGUUCUGUUAACUUCAUUAUUAUAAUAUAAUUAUAUAAUAUAAUUAUUAUUAUGAUAUACAUAUAUUCAUUCAAUUAUUAUACCAUAUUUUUAUAUAACUAUUCAUUCGUUAUAUAUAAUCUAAAUAUAAUCUAAUAUAUAAACAAAUUUUAAAUCAAAAGAAUAAUAAUAUCGUAAGUAAUAUGAUGAAUAUUUAUGAAUGAUUUAAUAUAUAUUGCAUCAUUUGUUUAUAACUUCAAUGUACUUUUCGUAAUAUAGAUCGUAAAAUAUGCAAAAUAUGUAUUUUUUGUAUGUAUUAUUGUAUAAAAAUUGGAAUACAUGUAAAAGAUCACGUUUGUCUUUAAGUAUAAGUUGGAUGAGAAGCGUUAAGAGAUCUUUGACCUUGAGUGACCUUUAUUAUUAAAUUUCAUUUAAUAAUAUAAAUAUUUGAAAUACAAUAUUAUUUUAAUUUAUAGUAAAUUUUUUAAUGUAAUAAAGAAAAUUUAUAAAAAUUAAUUUUAUUAUUAAAAACAAGAAUAUGAUGAA